AACGAACGCUGGCGGCAUGCCUAACACAUGCAAGUCGAACGAAGCCUUCGGGCUUAGUGGCGCACGGGUGCGUAACGCGUGGGAAUCUGCCCUUGGGUUCGGAAUAACAGUUAGAAGUGACUGCUAAUACCGGAUGAUGACGUAAGUCCAAAGAUUUAUCGCCCAAGGAUGGGCCCGCGUAGGAUUAGCUUGUUGGUGAGGUAAAAGCUCACCAAGGCGACGAUCCUUAGCUGGUCUGAGAGGAUGAUCAGCCACACUGGGACUGAGACACGGCCGAGACUCCUACGGGAGGCAGCAGUGGGGAAUGUUGGACAAUGGGCGAAAGCCUGAUCCAGCAAUGCCGCGUGAGUGAUGAAGGCCUUAGGGUUGUAAAGCUCUUUUACCCGGGAUGAUAAUGACAGUACCGGGAGAAUAAGCGCCGGCUAACUCCGUGCCAGCCGCCGCGGUAAUAC
rnacentral:rRNA from 1 species